CGUUCUCUCUCAUUCUCGCUCUCGAGCUUGCCGUAUUCCCAAAUCGUAUAAAACUUGCCCUAUCCCCUUUCACUCUUAUUUCCCAAAUCUGUCUUAAUUUUGCUCUCUCUUUCUCUCUCUCUCUUUUUUUUCUCUCUCUCUCUAUCGAUUUUGCUCUAGAUAUUCCUCUCUCGAUUUCGCUCUGUUUCUUGCUCUAUAAAUCGCCAUGGUCGUCUAAAUAAGAGGCCUCCAAUGGUACGAACUCCCUCAACUUCUUUAUCUGGUCUUUGGAUUCAUGAAUUGGGAUACUUACUGUUGGUGAGCAUGGCUUUACUCAUUUGCUUGAUAAUUUUGCCUAUAAUAUUUUAUACAAGGAAAACCAUCAAAGGCAGUUGUGGAUAUCCAGUAUUCAAUGUAGCAACAAAAUUUGUCCAUAGCUAAUCCAAAAAAGGGAUUGAAGUCAAACCUGGCUCACCAUACACUUGCCAACUUGAUUCGGGAGUAAAGCUUCACAUAUCUCAGGCAACACUUGGCCUUGGUUCAUCUACAAGGAGAAGCAUACUUAAAGGUGCUCCAAAAGAUAAGUGUGCAGUGUUCUUGUGUUCACUAAUGGUAGGGAACAAGUGCUCAUGCAAGUUGAAUUUGGAGUUAAAUAGUAAUGAUGAAGUAACCUUCUCAGUUAUGGGCCCUCAAAGCAUUCAUCUCUCUUGUUUCCUCACCAGUGAGGUUGAUUCAAGUAUCAAAAUCCAGUAAAAUAUAGAUGUUUGAGCCCCCAAUCAUAUACAUUGUGGUGUACAGAAAAAAGAGUAGUGUAUGUAAUUGCAUGAAUUUAAAUAAUGGUAUCAGUUGAUAUAUUCACGAGCAACUAUAACCAAAAUUUAAAAUCCUAAUAUGUAAAUUGAAUCUUAAUGAUGGAUGUCAAUAAGAAACAAUUAUAGUAAAUUAUAUGGCUACAUACAUUGAAAGUAUUUUAAGCAUUUUAAAGAGUGAAGGUAAGGUGACAACACCAAGGAUGUCACUAGAGAGGCUAAGAGAGUAGGAAUGGCAACGGGGCGGGGCGGGGCCGGGGAUCACCUUCCCCGUCCUCGAUCCCCGAUGAUAAGAAUGUCCCCGGCCACGGCCUCGAUCCCGAUCCCCGACGGGGAACCUAUUACCAUCCCCAUCCCCGUCCCCUAACGGGGAUCGGGUUUC